rnacentral:rRNA from 1 species
AGAAUCAACGCUGGCGGCGUGCCUAACACAUGCAAGUCGAACGAGAAAGUGGAGCAAUCCAUGAGUAAAGUGGCGACCGGGUGAGUAACACGUGACUAACCUACCUUCGAGUGGGGGAUAACAUCGGGAAACCGAUGCUAAUACCGCAUAACAUCGCAAGAUCAAAGCAGCAAUGCGCUGGAAGAGGGGGUCGCGGCUGAUUAGCUAGUUGGCGGGUAACGGCCCACCAAGGCGAAGAUCGGUAGCCGGCCUGAGAGGGCGCACGGCCACACUGGAACUGAAACACGGUCCAGACUCCUACGGGAGGCAGCAGUGGGGAAUUUUGCGCAAUGGGGGAAACCCUGACGCAGCAACGCCGCGUGGAGGAUGAAGCCCCUUGGGGUGUAAACUCCUUUCGACCAAGACGAUAAUGACGGUACUGGUGGAAGAAGCACCGGCUAACUCUGCGCCAGCAGCCGC